rnacentral:rRNA from 1 species
AGAGGGUGCGAGCGUUAAUCGGAAUUACUGGGCGUAAAGCGCACGUAGGUGGGUAAACAAGUCGGAUGUGAGAUUCCUGGGCUCAACCUGGGCAUGUCAUUCGAAACUGUAUAUCUAGAGUAUAGUAGAGGGAAGUGGAAUUUCCGGUGUAGCGGUGAAAUGCGUAGAUAUCGGAAGGAACACCAGUGGCGAAGGCGGCUUUCUGGACUAAUACUGACACUGAGGAGCGAAAGCGUGGGGUAGCGAACAGGAUUAGAUACCCUGGUAGUCCACGCUGUAAACGAUGAGUACUAGCCGUUGGGGUGUUAACCAUCUUAGUGGCGCAGCAAACGCGAUAAGUACUCCGCCUGGGAUUACGGCCGCAAGGUUA